rnacentral:rRNA from 1 species
CAGCAGCCGCGGUAAUACAGAGGGUGCGAGCGUUAAUCGGAUUUACUGGGCGUAAAGCGUGCGUAGGCGGCUUCUUAAGUCGGAUGUGAAAUCCCUGAGCUUAACUUAGGAAUUGCAUUCGAUACUGGGAAGCUAGAGUAUGGGAGAGGAUGGUAGAAUUCCAGGUGUAGCGGUGAAAUGCGUAGAGAUCUGGAGGAAUACCGAUGGCGAAGGCAGCCAUCUGGCCUAAUACUGACGCUGAGGUACGAAAGCAUGGGGAGCAAACAGGAUUAGAUACCCCGGUAGUCCAUGUCUCUUAUAA